CAAUAGCGUAUAUUAAAGUUGUUGCGGUUAAAAAGCUCGUAGUUGGAUUUCUGCUGAGAACGACCGGUCCGCCCUCUGGGUGUGUAUCUGGCUCUUUCUUGGCAUCUUCUUGGUGAACGUUGCUGCACUUGACUGUGUGGAGCGCUACCCAGGACUUUUACUUUGAGGAAAUUAGAGUGUUUCAAGCAGGCAUACGCCUUGAAUACAUUAGCAUGGAAUAAUAAGAUAGGACCUCGGUUCUAUUUUGUUGGUUUCUAGAGCUGAGGUAAUGAUUAAUAGGGAUAGUUGGGGGCAUUCGUAUUUAACUGUCAGAGGUGAAAUUCUUGGAUUUGUUAAAGACGGACUACCGCGAAAGCAUUUGCCAAGGAUGUUUUCAUUNA
rnacentral:rRNA from 1 species